rnacentral:lncRNA from 1 species
AGAUUCUACUGUUAGAAGAAGAAAGCAAAUUGAAAAUAAGAGGAGAAGUCCUUUAGAGCAGAAAAGAAAAAACCCUGGAUCUGUAGGACAGAAGUACAAUGAGCAAAUAAAUGUAAGUAUAGCAUUAGUAAAAAUUUCUAAAUAAUAGUGAAAAAAAUUGUGUGGGAAGCAGAAGGCUAUUACAGUCCUUGCUGUAAACUAUAUACCACAACAUAAAUAUAAAUAUAGCCAAAGUCAUUUGUGAUGCAGUCUUAGAAUCUUACGCUAAGCUUUUGUACUAUACUUAUUUUCUGUCCUAUAAUUAGCCUAUAUGAUCUGUUACCAAUAAAGGUUUUAAAUCAACUUUUAAGAAAUCACUAUUGUUAUUUUAUCUGUUAUUGUUUAUAAUGAAUUCUGGAAAAACUUAGGUCAUGCACAACAAAAUUCAAAGUUUUUGAAAUAUACAGAAGAAAAAGAAAAGGAGGUAGAGAAGAUGAGAGGAAAGUAGGAAGAAAGAAGGGAAAGGGAAGGAGAAAGGGAAAAAAGGAAGGAAGGGAGGAAGGAAGGAAGGAAGGAAGGAAGGAAGGAAGGAAGGAAAACUAGAAUCAUGAAUAAAGGAAGCAUGUAUUUUAAUCAUAAAGACUAAGACAGUCCUAUCUGAUUGAACAUCCUACUUGAAUCUGAGCUUCCUGGAAGACAUGGCAAAAAGGAAAAUCAAAUGAGCUUUAUAAUUUUCAAGGGUUAUUGGUGAUAAUUUUGUUAUUAAAUAAUGACAGCUGAAAAUACAGGCAGCAAUAAUAAGAAUUCAUACCCCAUUUGAAACAAAUGUAUGAUAUAUGAUAUGUCAAGAUCAAUGUAAUGUUUUGAGCAACUAAUAAAUUUCUGAUUAAAAAAAUAUAGGCAGCAAUUUAAAAAUUUUUAAGUUCAUGUAUAUAUCAUAAAUUUUAAAUGUUGAAUCAUGUUCUGAUUUACUAUCCUAUUUUUAUAGAAUUUUGGACAAAGUGCCCAGCUAAGUUCAAAUGAGCCAAAACUAACUACAAGGGGUACUUCUAAUGAUGGAGAAGGUAUUGGUCUAUACAUUUUCUUCAGAGUUUUGUUUCCAACAAUUUUCUUUUCUUAUGUGGAUCUUCUCAGUUGCUUACAUUUUAUGUGAAUGCUAAAACACCAUUUAGGACCUGAACUUUUCCUCACCCCUACACACUUAGUUCAUUGCCAGUUUUUCUUCAUUCAUAAUAACAAUUCAUUGAUCAUCUUUUCUACAGCAAAUUAUUUCCUGACUUGACAAUUAUUUCUGUAGGAUAGAUUCCCAGAAUUAAAAUUACAGUAUCUGGCAUGUAAUUGGCACCUAAUAAAUAUUUGUUAAUGAAACUACAAAUAAUUAAAUGAUAACUGGAUCAAAGGAAAGACAUAUUGAUACAGCUUUUCAAACAUAUUGCUAAAGUAUUUCCAAAAAAGUAUUACCUUUAGAAAUUCUCUCAGUGGUAUAUGUCAAUUUAAAGAAUCACUUCUAAUCAUGCUUAUAUGAUAGGCAAAGAAAUG